rnacentral:rRNA from 1 species
GAUGAACGCUGGCGGCGUGCCUAAUACAUGCAAGUCGAGCGAACGGACGAGAAGCUUGCUUCUCUGAUGUUAGCGGCGGACGGGUGAGUAACACGUGGAUAACCUACCUAUAAGACUGGGAUAACUUCGGGAAACCGGAGCUAAUACCGGAUAAUAUUUUGAACCGCAUGAUUCAAAAGUGAAAGACGGUCUUGCUGUCACUUAUAGCUGGAUCCGCGCUGCAUUAGCUAGUUGGUAAGGUAACGGCUUACUAAGGCAACGAUGCAUAGCCGACCUGAGAGGGUGAUCGGCCACACUGGAACUGAGACGCGGUCCAGACUCCUACGGGAGGCAGCAGUAGGGAAUCGUCCGCAAUGGGCGAAAGUCUGACGGAGCAACGCCGCGUGAGUGAUGAAGGUCUUCGGAUCGUAAAACUCUGUUAUUAGUGAAGAACAGAUGUGUAAGUAACUGUGCACAUCGUGACGGUACCUAAUCAGAAAGCCACGGCUAACUACGUG